CCAGACUCCUACGGGAGGCAGCAGUGGGGGAUAUUGGACAAUGGGGGAAACCCUGAUCCAGCGACGCCGCGUGAGUGAAGAGGUAUUUCGGUAUGUAAAGCUCUGUCAGCAGGGAAGAAAGAAAUGACGGUACCUGACCAAGAAGCCCCGGCUAACUACGUGCCAGCAGCCGCGGUAAUACGUAGGGGGCAAGCGUUAUCCGGAAUUACUGGGUGUAAAGGGAGCGUAGACGGUGAUGCAAGUCUGGAGUGAAAGGCGGGGGCCCAACCCCCGGACUGCUCUGGAAACUGUGCAGCUGGAGUGCAGGAGAGGUAAGCGGAAUUCCUAGUGUAGCGGUGAAAUGCGUAGAUAUUAGGAGGAACACCAGUGGCGAAGGCGGCUUACUGGACUGUAACUGACGUUGAGGCUCGAAAGCGUGGGGAGCAAACAGGAUUAGAUACCCGCGUAC
rnacentral:rRNA from 1 species